CCGACGGUGAGGGACGAAAGCUGGGGGAGCAAACCGGAUUAGAUACCCGGGUAGUCCCAGCUGUAAACGAUGCUCGCUAGGUGUCUGGGAUGGUGCGACCGUUUCAGGUGCCGCAGGGAAGCCGUGAAGCGAGCCACCUGGGAAGUACGGCCGCAAGGCUGAAACUUAAAGGAAUUGGCGGGGGAGCACUACAACGGGUGGAGCCUGCGGUUUAAUUGGACUCAACGCCGGAAAACUCACCUGGGGC
rnacentral:rRNA from 1 species